rnacentral:lncRNA from 1 species
CUGUAUUGAUAUAUUUCACCGUCGUAUACGAGGAGGAGACUUUGUAAAUCAACGGAGAAGGGCAAGAGAGUGUAGGCUGUAGUGUGAUGUGUCAAUUGCUGCGUGACAUGUAGGGAUGGAUUUUUUUAAAAAAAAUUAAUUUGAGAUUCUUCAAUCCUUUGCAAGACUGAACGUUAAUUUCACGAUUUCAUGUUUAUUCCAAAUUGAAUCUUUUAUCAUUGAGAUUUGUGUUAGUGUGGUCGGUCACCGCGAAAGGGG